GCAGUGAAUGGUACCAAUACAUUCGCUUGAGUUAGUGCACGUAGUCGCUACGUCACCAGCCUUCCAGCUAGGGUUCCCAACUGUCCCACAUUAGCCAUAACAUCCAGUAGAUUGGGCUAAAUUGGUUUGUUCCAUACAGGACCUCCCUUAUCCUGUACACUGACUGCUACUCUACUCUGUAGCCAGACGGCACACUUACAGAUUCUAGAUCUGAUACAGCAGGUAAUGUGCUUAUCAAGACCAGGGGUGAGACCUGUCAUCCAAUUAUGCACAUCAGCUGUACAUAAAGAAAUGGUUUUUGCAGUGUCUGGUGUUACUUUGGUCAGUUUUCCCUGUGCAAAUAUGGAUAGACCUGCAAAAAAGGAAAGCAAUGGGAAGUAAAAAGAUGUGAGUUACAUUCACCAGUGAUGACUUUUCUGUACUUCUGAAAUUCUCAGUCGGCCAUGGAGGUGAGAAUGACCUAACUCAACAUGCAAUAUUGGUGAAUUCUUCAUGACAGCUACUGCAGAAAAUGACAAAACUGCUGAAGCCUGUUUCCAGAGUGUGUUGGAUAUUUCUCUGUGUCUGAUGAAGUUCAGAGCAAGUUACUUGAGUUUUGUAAAGACGGUGUUGAAACUGCAAACGGCAUACGUUAAGUUCUGAUGAACUGUCGGGUAUAGUGUGAAGUGGAUGUUCGACACAUCACAGCCUGUGCAGCAGAUAAUGCCAGUUUCAACUUUGGGAAAACACCUCUCCAUUUACCAGUUAUUGAGCAGUGCCAACAAUAACAUUCUGAAAGCUAAUUACCCAGCUCACGUAGCUCAUGACGCCUGCAAGCACUUGAUUGCUUUUAAGAUCUACAGCCACUUCUCAGUGUCUGCUUCCCAAAUAGAGGAACUGCGUGCAUUUUUGCCUUUGUUGACAUUGAGUGGCAUGAAAUUCUGCAUCAUAUUCACACACAAUGGCUGUCAUUCAGCUGUCGAUCAUCUCCUGCAAAGCUGGCCAGCUCUUACCUCAUACUUCAGGUCCCUUGGGGAGACCUGUCCCGUGGCAUUGAGUUCAGCUGCUGAGAUGUAUAUGUUCUUUUUCCACAAUUUUGACCAACUCAUAAAAUACCUAGAGGAAACAAACCUCUGCAUCGCAGAUAUUUACAUGGAAGUCCCAAAGUUCAACAUGAAGAUGCCUCAACAGACACAGGUCAAAUUUUGGAUACCAAACUCAGCAGCUUCGAGUCAGCACAAAGGUCGAAGCAGCUGCAGGACUUCUAUGAUUCUGUCACUGCAUACAAUGACGAGUGCUUUGAUUUCCCAACAAAAAAAUGUGAAACUGAAACCAGUGUCCUUCUAUGAGCUUUCCUUCAUUGACCUGGAGCAGGUGGAGCCUGCAAUCAAAAUGACAGUCAGUAUGGACCAGCUCUUAGAAACGUUUUGUGCUAUCCUGGGGUAAAUACAGAAAGCCGGACAGGAUACCAGAAAAUCCACCGGUGAGAACUGGGUGGCAGUUUUCAGAAAAUAUGGACAAAUCCAACAGAUACAGCACAGAGCUGAGCAAAAAUGAACUUCAAAUACCUGUGAAUUGUGACUUGCAACAACUCUCUGGCUGUGCAAAAGGACAAAGGACUGCUUAAAUCAGUCAAGAGCAGCAAAAUAAUAUCCAGGGGAAAAGUUGCCAUGGUGAGUCAUGUCCCUCUUUUCUCCUUUUACAUUUGAAAUUUUUAUUUGUUUGUUUUCUGUAAAUGUGCAAAUUGUAAUUUCUCUAUAGCUAUGGACUAAAUGGAAUAUAUGAUUUUCUGCCAAUUGAAUAAGAAUAUGAAUAUAUGCUGUAUAUUCACACCACAGUGGCAUUAGACAAAGAGGUCCCUUAUUUGGUUAGCCCCUUUUUAAAAAGAGAUCACACUAUAUUCUUGACCCUUGAAUACACCUGAUUUGCUUGUUUACACAAAACCACACAAAGCCAGCAUAAUGCCCCUCCUGUGUGUGAUUUUAUACAUCAUGAUCGCUGAAUCAGAGGUAUGACAUGUAACACAGCAGCCUUGGCCUCAGAAAAGCUGGUAAACCUACUUCCAGUACAGCCUAUUUGUGAGGACAUGCAGAUAAAAUCUGUGGUGCUGGAACUAAUAUUGAUGCUAUGUAACUUCCCUUUUCUACAGUAAUGGCAUAAAAGCAAGACUCAAGUUGUGGCUCAAUUUGCAUAUUUAUAUAUUCACACUUGCUAUUUUGGCUGCAUAAGUGCAUUCUCAUAGACGAGAAUGGAAACAUGCAGUGUACUGUAAGCACUUCAAAUGGCCAGAGCGUUGAACACUGGACGCCUCUCACCCUCAACGGUCACCAUCUUCUAGCCGAAUGAGGAGGGACCACCAAUGUUACUGGUGAAAAUGGUGUCUGACGCAGACACGCCGUCAGCACCAAUGGCAGCGUAAUUUCCAUGUCACAUAAAACAGGGGGCACACACAAUAAAGUAAAAAUUUAUUGUAGAUAGUUUUAGAAAUAUAAUAAUUGAGAAAAUAGUGAAUGAAAUUCAAAUCUUGAGCUGCUAGUGGCACCACAGCCAAAGUCGGUGGAUCACAAAAGUCUUUAGGAUUCACCCUCUGGGUACUAUGAAUGAAAAAAAAAAAAUCAUAGUAAUCCAUCCAGUUGUGUUUUAAAUAUCUCAGACAAAAGCAGUAGAUUGACCAGCUAAGAGACUGACAUUGCUAAAGCUGUGCUGCUGGCAUGGCCAAAAACAGUGGACUGCUUAUGACCAUGCCUGCCAUCAUUUGUAGUUUUAAAAUGAUUGAAAUUUAUAAGAAAAGUGAAUGAGUGGACCAUGAGUUGGGAUUAUUUUGUCAAAGAAAAUCAGGAUUAUUUACAUGUUAAUUUAAUUCAGCCUUUGCUGUAUUAGUUAUAUCCAUCUAAAGAACACCAGCUCCACCAGAGGUUUUGAAGAUAAUUUCUACUCUAAUUAACUACUACUAAUUAAAUUAUUUUUCAUAUUAUGGUUAUCAGUUAUAUUUUUAAACAAUCAUCAUUGUCCUUUAUAGACUUGCAAUUACAACAAGACAACACAUACUAAUAAUAAUGAUAAUAAAAACUGCAUUUCAAUUCUUUUUUUUUUAAGCCUUUGCAAAUUAAUUUUUUGGCACCACUAAUCACAAAAAAAGUGCCAAAAUGUGUCAGUAUGCAUAAGAUAGUGCUCCCAAAAUGCAAACAGCAGUGUGUUGCAGUAGUGGCAGGGGGCAAGGAUCGAGCAUAGCUGCAAGCUGUCGCACUCCUGACUUAAAGAGGCAGUGCAUUAACUCUGCAUACACACAUACACACCCAGCUGCACACCAGCUAUUAUACCCAAGCAGGCAGUCUGGAGGAAAUGAAGCAUCAUUGUCAUAGGCACACACAAACACACAUCACAGCCUCAAGUGUUCUCUUUUGUUGAAGAGGGCAACACAGACAGUGGGACAACAAGAGAAGGAGAUGGCUGCCUAUAAGGCAGACAAUGAAUGAAAGAAGUAGAGAUGGAGGGAGGAGAGAGAGAACAGAGGUGGUGUUGCUGUGAUGGACAGGUGAAAGCAGGCAGGGAAAUUGGGGACUGGAUGAAUGCUGAUUUGUAUGGCAUUUAACCACUUGGCCCAUGUCAGUGUUAUUGUGUGUGGUGGUGUAUAGAAUAUUAGUGUAGCCUACAGCACAAGAGUAGGAUAUGCAUUAGGUCACUUGCAUGAGAGCAGCAGACAGCUCUCCAGUAACCUUGUCUUUUUGUCUAGGGCUUGUAGUUUUGCAUAAACAGCAAUUGUAAAGAGAGAGUUGCCUUAUUUUUUGGAUUUAUGGCAGCCCAAGGUCAUUAAUGUGUCCUUGUUCUGACCAAACAAACCUUGUCAUUUGUCCUUCACUUUUAAAUCCCAGCCUCUCUGCUCAGAUCACACAUUCUAAUCACAAAUACACCUUCUAACCACCGUGCACACACAGCUGUGCAUGUCCAUAGACAGGCAGACAUCCAAGAUACAGGUCCCCACCCACACACCCACCAGAGCUGAGCGAAGAGGGGCUGUGGAUGCCUGAUACCUCGCCGUGCUCUGUCAGAUACCCAGUGGCAGGAAAGUGGCCGAAUGCAUGUGCAAGGAUGGGGGUGGGAUUAGAGCUAUUUAAAGCUGUAUGCGUCUGUCUCUCGGGGCUCAAGCACCAGAUACGUUCUCCCCCUCCUUCUCUCUUUUUCUUUUUUCCACAGAAAGCAUCCCAUGCACCACUGUGGCUUGGUAAAGCAGGCAUGCAGGCCUCUGCUCCUGGGCUCAAUCCACUUAUGUAACAUCGUCAUUGGUGAAGAAGGAGCACCAUCUGGGCCUGGGGCUACUGUACUCACUGUCCUCAGUGCAUGUGCAUGUGUGGCUAUGCCUUUGUGUGUUUGUGUAACAGAGAUGGAAAGGGUAUUACUGCUCAUCAUCUGUUGUCUGAGUCACUGGUCAGGUGUUAAAAGUCCCAUUUGUUAGCAUGAAUUAGUGUAAUAUUAACUGUGAUAUUUUAGUAUUUGCUAUAAAACUAUGGGCUCCAAAGUUGUUUCUGCAAAACCUGUGGAUGAUUAAUGUCUUAGAAUCAAUUUCUCCAACUUAAUUUUCAUAUGCCUUAAGGAUUCUCAUUUCUCUUCUCAAUAUACAACUUUUAACAAUCUUGCUAUUGCUACUGUGAGAGCCAGGUCAUCUGGAUCAGAUAGGUGGUGGAGAGUGGGGAACCUCAGGGCCCCAUCUUUGGCCCAUGUUUAUUUUCUAUUUAUAUAUUCCUCCUCCUAAGACAUACCGUUAUUAGACACAGUUUCAGAUUUCAUUCUUAUGCUAAUGAUAAACAACUGUAUCUUUCCUUUUAGAUAAAUGUCUACUCUGUCUCAUCAAUUUGUCUCAUGUUCCAAAACAAAUCCAUAUUGUUUAAUAAUGACAUGGUUAUGACAGUACUAUCAUUACUUGUUGCACAUUACUUUGAAAACCUCAGGUGACAAGCAGUCUUAAUUAAGGCUUAACUAUAGUAAAAGCUAACAAAGUGUGGCAGUGCCAUUCAAAACAGGAUUCUGUGGUUCAGCCUGGUCAGUGUAUGAAUGUAUGAUAACAUUCAACAUAACAUUCAAAAAAAACAUAAUAGACUAGUGGUAUCAGUGUUGCCAUUGGGAGCCUUUUAAGCAUACACUCACCAAUCACUUUAGGAUUUAGGAUAUUAGGAACACCUUAGGCUACUAAUACUCAUUGCUCUAAAAACAGUCUCAGUUCUUUGUGGCAUGGAACAUGCCUGUUGACAUGAUUGCACAUCAUUUCUGCAGAUUUGCCUCUACACAUUCAUCCUGCCAAUCUCCUGUUCUACAACAUCCCAAAGGUGCUGGAGGAGGCCUUUGAAGUACACUGAACUCAUUUUGUGCAUUAUUAUGCUGGAGGUAUCCAUUAGAACCAACCAGAACCUGAAAGGACUGAGAAUGCUGUUGUGUUCAGCCUCUUGAGUGAGCAUUUGGAUAACAGAUCUGUGAUCCAGCGCUACACCUGCAGUUUUCAGCACAAGCAUCUCAUAUGCAAAUCCACGUAGAUCAUCAAACAGCAGGGGACCGUAUUUAUGAGUUCAUCUUUUUAUCUGAGACAGCUAAGCCUUUUUUGGAUAAUAAACCUCAUCACUGUGUAAUGAGAGUAAUUGUUCUAAGUGUGAAUCUGUUUUGUUUAAACUUGAGUGUGCUAUUGUUGUAGUAACUAAGCUAUUCAGGUGGAUGACUGGAAUACAGAUCACAUAGAGUGGUGAAGUGAGAUGAUUUAUUUUGGUCCCCAGGUUGUGGAAGGAAAAGCCUGUGCAUUUUCUACUUUUAGAACAAUCUUAUAAGUAUCUUAUAAGUCUUACAGGUAUCUGGCAGUUGGAGGACUUCCAAGGUUUGGAUGGAUAUGAAAUUCUGCUGGUUGAAUCAGCAGCACAAAAGAUGAGUGAACUUUUAUAAAAUAUAUAUUUUCUUUGAGCACAGAAAUUCAUUUGUGUCCCUGAGAAUAGAAUGUGCAACAAAAUAAUAUACACCAAUUCUGUACAUGUGUCUUAGUACAGUCAUUGUGCUCAACUCAAUUAGUUCAGUACUUAAAGUAAGGUCACUUCACCUGGCAAGUGCAUCAAUCCCAUUGUGCUUGCAAACCUUUUCCAACAUAGAUUAGAAUAGAAUAGACUUUAUUGUCAGGGUACAAUGAAAUUUUGUAAGAACAAAUACCACAAUACAGACAGAACAACGACAGAGCACUUAGGUUGCGUGCUAACAUGCAGAGCGGAUGAGACAGUUUCUCAGAGCUAGCACAGUAGCUGCAGACAGCAAUACUCACAACCCUCCUCCUAGUAACUAACAUUACACCAAGAGCAUACAGCCUUUCUUUUUAGAUUUCUAUUUUUCUGUCAUACUCGCUCCCACUGCCUCCUUUAUAGCCUCCCAUGCCAUGAUUGGUUGGAAUGAGCCACACCAAUGAACUUCAUCAUGCCAGUUCUAGAGCCAGGGCUGUCUAAAAAGACCAACUUUUUUCUCAGAACACACACUCAGAAGGGGCAGCUAAUCACGUCAUGAUGAGUGAAAGUACAUAAAAACUCUGUGUACAUUUUCUUAAAAAGAAAUUUCUGACAAAUGUUAUGUUAAAGCUAAUAUUCCCACUUUGCAGUGUUGGACUGACAGCCUAAAAUACAAUAAAUAAAUACAGCCCUGGAGUAAUCUACUGGGAUUUGAAGGUUACUCUGACUUCAAAACCAUAACAUGUUCUUUCCCCAUAUAUAAGUCCACAGACAAUAGGCAGCGGUCUGCUUGACUCAUGUCAACUUUCAAUGCAGAAGAGAAUGUUGGAAGUCUGUCAGACUACCCUGCAUGUUGAAAAAUUACACUAAAUGGUUACCCAGUGCAUUAAUAACUCACACCAAGCGGUCCUGACCAAGUGUCCCUUUAUGACAAUCUGGGAGUUAGACUGUUUGUGAAAACUGUGAAUACAGUCAUGUGUCAACUAUAAGUUACACAGAAAUUAGCCAUUGUUCUCCCUGUGAUUUCAGAGAGCUGUUGUACCAUUUAUCUGAUCCCUGACCAGUUCGACCACUGAUGGAUCUGUGUGGGUAAGAAGCACCGAUCUGUAAAGGCAUGACCAACUGACCACCAUGGACCCAGUGGUACAAGUCUCUGUGGAGGAGUAAUUUGGUGUGAGACUUGCCUUGGACAAACUGACAUAGCUCUGAACUCCACAGAUCUGGAGCACAAGCUAGGCGCUUAGGCUUCAACUGAAAGGACUGUCUUCCAACUCUGAUAAAUACUGCUGGGCAUGGCUGUGGCAGUGGCUCAGUGUGCUAGACUCCAGGUGAUCUUGCAGUCCUCUCUGUUUUCUUCCAGCAAUCCUCUAGCUAAACCUAGCAUGGGACCUGCAAACUAGCCUGCCUGCUCUUACAUCCUCUAGCCACCAGCCUGCUCCUCGGUUAGCCCAUUGUCUCAUUCUGCCCCAGAAAACGCCAUAGAGCCACCUUUCAGGAGAUCCUGUAAAAAAGGUACACGUGGCUCCCACUGACAUUGGUCUUCUCUCCUGCCCAGUGCCAUGGAGGUCCCACUGCAGCAUUGUAAUCCAGUCUGCUCCUAAGUUGGGGAUUUCCUUCUGCUGUCCCCCCUCCUGAGUCAGGGGUCCCAGCUGCUGUUUUUUUCAGCGUUGGCCGUCCCAGCCAACGAUGGAGGAGCCCGGUUUUGUCUGUCUGUCCAGCCUCUGGGCCAUCUUCCUGAGGCCCUCAUCUCUCCUGCUCCCCAACAACUGGGCCAACCACCCAAGGUCCUCAACUCUCCUGCUCUUUCCACCCCACUAAUUAUAUGUUAUGGACCACAUAUAUCUGUCCUCUGCUCACAGUCACUGUCAGGUCAUCUCGUUGCCAUUCCUGCAUUCAUGUAUUUGUGCGUUCAGGUGGAGCAAAAAGCUGGCCAUUGCAAUAAUGCUUAAAUAUGGGGAUAAUGGUACACAUUUUCAAUCACUGUCUUGUGGGAGGUAUUGAUAGUGGUGCAUAGAAAUGUUCAUAUCCUUGUUGUCCAUAUUUGUGAAGCUAUCUGGCCAUCCAACAAGCUGUUUUGAUGCAAUGUACUGACCUCUUAACUGCUACAAGUGACUCUGACAGCUUGUUAAUUUCUGCCCAAAAAAAGAGAGAGAUUUGAGAAUGAAAGUAGAUCUCAUUCAGGCAUGUCACAGCUCUGUGGUCAUCGGACUAUGUACUUUUAUGUAAAACAGAAAUGCUCCUUCAUUCAGAUGUCCCUCUGUUCUCUUGCUUCAGAGCUCUGUGCACACAGGUACUGCUCUGUAUGCUCAUUUCACAGGUCUGCGCACGCACCAUUUAUAAAACUAAAUAAACACUGUAACCUGUCUUCUGCUAUACACUGUGUGUACAAUUAUUAGGCAAGUGAGUAUUUUGACCAUAUUAUCAUUUUUAUGCAUAUUUCCCAACUCCAAACUGUAUAAACUUGAGUGCUUAUUGGAUUCGAGCAUAACAGGUGAUGUGUAUUUGUGUAAUGAGGGAGGGUGUGGCCUAAGGAGAUCAACACCCUAUAUCAAGGUGUGCAUAAUUAUUAGGCAGAUUCUUUUCCUCAGGCAAAAUGGGCCGAAAAACACUUGAAAUUGCAAAGCUAUUGGGUCAUGAUCACAGAACUAUCAAACGUUUUGUUGCAAAAGGUCAACAGGGUUGAAAGAAACGUGUUGAGGAAAAAAAGACGCAAAUUAACUGCCAAAGAUUUACAAAAAAUCAAGCAUGAAGGUACUAGGAACCCAUUGUCUUCCAGUGCUGGCAUAUUUCAGAACUGUAACCUACCUGGAGUACCCAGAAGUUCAAUGUGUUCAGUGCUCAGAGACAUGGCCAAGGUAAGGAAGGCUGAAAUCUGACCACCAUUGAAAAAGACACAUAAGUUAAAAUGUCAAGACUGGGCCAAGAAAUACCUGAAGACUGAUUUUUCAAAGGUUUUAUCAGUAAUGGGCACAAAGCUCCACUUCGAUUCAGACACCAGCAGGGUGGAGGUGAGGUUCUGGCAUGGGCUGGUAUCAUUAAAGAUGAGCUAGUUGGACCUUUUCAGGUUGAAGAAGGACUUAAAAUCAACUCCCAGAACUACUGCCAGUUUUUAGGGGACACUUUCUUCAAGCAGUGGUACAGAAAAAAUCCUGCAUCUUUCAAGAAGACCAUGAUUUUUAUGCAGGACAAUGCUCCAUCACAUGCAUCAAAGUACUCCACUGCAUGGCUUGUCAGUAAAGGCCUUAAAGAUGACAGGAAAAUGACAUGGCCCCCUUCCUCCCUAUUGAGAACUUGUGGCAUCUUCUUAAACAGGAGAUUUACUAUGAAGGAAAACAGUACACCUCUCUGAACAGUGUCUGGGAGGCUGUGGCUGCUGCAGACAAAAAGUUGAUCAUCAACAGAUAAAGAAAUUGACAGACUCCAUGGAUGGAAGGCAGUUAUUGAAAAGAAGGGUGGCUAUAUUGGUUACUGAUUAUUUUUGUGGAAAUGUUAGAAAUGUUAAUUAUUUUCACUUUCACAAGUGAGAUGGAAAAAUAUUCAGUUCAGUGCAUUCAUUGAGUUCGGCUAAUAAUUCUGUGCACCAAUAUUUGCCAAAUAACUGUGCACACUGAGAUAUUCUCUUAAGAAAGACAAACCCUGACUUUUACUUUCUUAAAUAUUCAGGUUUGAGCUUUAUUAACAUUUUUGGAUUGAGUGAGAGCACUGUAGGUGUUAAAAAAUAAAGUUAAUCAUCAAAAACACAACUUGCCUAAUAAUUGUGCAUGCAGUGUACUAGAUGACACCGUUGUGGUUGUCCUUGCCUCUAUAAUCUUCAAGGAAACUGUAACAGUAAGAGGAUAUAACACAUAAAAGCUGUUUUCCUGUUUUUAUUUUGCUUGACUUUUUAGAAGAUCCUAAACCUCUUGAUGCUGAUUCAGAUUCCCCUCAUUGCUCCCUGUGCAUUUCUCAACAGGGAUUCUUUUAUCUUGUAAUCUGUGAAUGAUUAA